rnacentral:rRNA from 1 species
AAUUCGCCCUUAGAGUUUGAUCAUGGCUCAGAUUGAACGCUGGCGGCAUGCCUUACACAUGCAAGUCGAACGGUAACGCGGGGCAGCCUGGCGACGAGUGGCGAACGGGUGAGUAAUAUAUCGGAACGUGCCCAGUCGUGGGGGAUAACUGCUCGAAAGAGCAGCUAAUACCGCAUACGACCUGAGGGUGAAAGCGGGGGAUCUUCGGACCUCGCGCGAUUGGAGCGGCCGAUAUCAGAUUAGGUAGUUGGUGGGGUAAAGGCCUACCAAGCCGACGAUCUGUAGCUGGUCUGAGAGGACGACCAGCCACACUGGGACUGAGACACGGCCCAGACUCCUACGGGAGGCAGCAGUGGGGAAUUUUGGACAAUGGGGGCAACCCUGAUCCAGCCAUGCCGCGUGCGGGAAGAAGGCCUUCGGGUUGUAAACCGCUUUUGUCAGGGAAGAAAUCCUUUGGGCUAAUAACUCGGAGGGAUGACGGUACC